CCUUGACCCAAACCAUGUUUUCCUAAACCUAACCAAGUACUUUUCUUUCAAUUUAAAACAGUAACCACAUCUUUAAAACGGUGACUAGAUAAUAAUUGCCUUCUAAGCGUACCAGUGGGUGUAGCAGGCCCCUUCUAACCUAUAUCUAAUGAGACUGAUAACCCCUGAUAACAACGCAUUCAAUCAAGUGAUAACUUUCAAGACGAAACCGGCAGAGUAGCUACAUUCUGGUCUAAAGAAUUGACUUCCAAGAAGAAAACUCUGUGUCGGAAACAAAAGUAAUAUUGCAUGAUUUAGAUUUAGUGGAGAUAGAUCACAACGAGAGUUGGGAAUGGAAUGUUUUUGCGGUAACCAUCAUAGAAGUUCCCCAUCUGUCUGCAUCUAGCCUGCAGCUGCUGCCUAUAAAACACAAGUGAAUAGAUAUGUUCUAAGGCAUUAAACACGGUUUACAAAGAGCUGAUUGUUCAAUGUUGCAUUUGACAGUUGAAAAAGAAUUCCUCUCGAGGGUGGAGCAGCAUGGCGACAGUGUUAUGACACGCUUGCAGUGAAUGAUGGGUCUUCUAUGAUGGCUACGGCUGACCCUGGCAAGAAAAUGUUUUUCCAAUUGCUUGCAAGAGAGACAGAAUGUAUGCCUGCAUUGCCAGUAGGAUUAAGAGUGAUUACUGCUUGUUUAUUAAUAAUUGAUUGUGUCAUUUUUUUCAUCAAAAGCUUCUUGUUCCCCCGUCUAAAACUGUUUGUGACAUUUUUGUAACUUUGGAGGCAAACGAAUGAGCUAAUAGAUGGUAUAGUUGACAUGUUCAGCACCAAAAAUGUACAUUUUUCCAUUCACCUGCAGUAUAUUUUGAUUGUGUCUGCCACAUGGAUGUUAAUUAUGUACUACUAUCAAUUGUAAUGUAAGUAGAGGCCUUAACACACCGAUGUACAUUUUGUCAGGGCUAAGGACUGAGAAGUGUCACAAAGUAAAUCAAAACGAAGCAAAAAAGGUUUGACAGUGUCACCAAUUUUAACCCUAAAUGUCAUCCACUAAGGUAAUUUAAGUGUGAUC